ACAGCUUUUGCUUUUGAAUCUUUGAUACAGCGUGUUCACUUGGACAUCCAAGUUGGUGAGCAUACAAACAACUAUGCAGAAAUCGCUGCCAAGGACAAGCUGACGGAGCUGCAGCUGAGGGUGCGACAGCUGAUGGAGCAGGUGGAUCAGGUCCAGAAAGAGCAGAACUAUCAGAGGUAUCGCGAGGAGCGCUUCAGACAGACCAGCGAGAGCACCAAUCAGAGGGUCCUGUGGUGGUCUAUCGUCCAGACGCUGAUCCUGGUGGCCAUUGGGUUUUGGCAAAUGAGACAUCUGAAGAGCUUCUUUGAGGCCAAGAAAUUAGUAUAGAACUGUAGUCCGAUUUUUUUUAUUAAGUUGUGAUGAUUGUCAGUUGAUACAGUACACGCAGCAUUUUGAAGAUUGCCUGCUUCAUGUGUGGUCAAGGCUGCUGAAAAGUCAACAUGCUCUCAGUUUAGUUCCCUCCCUAAAUUGCCCUCUUUUAUCCUGCAUUGAGAUUUGUCUUACGCUGCUCGUUUCAGUGCCACACCCCAUGUAAUGUGAACCUAGUUUCUGUCCAGAAACACAUUACAGUUUGUUACUGUUUGGAGGUGAUAGGCACUCAACAAAAGCAGUUAACUGGAUUCAAAACACAAAUUGCAUAGUGGUUGCCUUAUCAUUUGUUUCAGAAAGCUGAUGAAGACAUUAACUAUUAACUGGGCUGCAAGUAUGACGUUUUUCCUAAAUGACCUUGGAUUAUUUGCUUAAACAUUUACAAGACAAAAAUAACCGAGUUUAUCCUGGUGGCAGGUGUAAAUGUGUUCUGUUGUUUGGUUGUGCAGUAAUUAGUAUGAUAUUUAAAGUUUUGCUCAGAGUGAAUGUUUCUUGGCGUUUAAAUUUGUAUUCUUUAUACAGUUGGUUGAUGUUUUCUUUUCUAUACCCCCAAUUUUAUAUUUUUUUGCUGUCAAGAACACUCGGAUCAUGUUAGAAUCAGGCCGCCUUCCCUUUUGAUAGCUACAGUUUGAUGCCGACCUCAGUGAUUUUGAAUAACCGUGUACAUGUUUGAAAUGUAUAUGUCCAAAUAAAUGGCAAAAUGUAGUUAUCAAAGGGUGAAAUGUUUAAUUAUGAGUACUUGACACAUUGAAAUAAAUGCUAUCAAAAGGUUUUAUAUUUUUAAUGAAUACCCAUUAGCUAUCAAGAGUUUUUCUGUUUCCUUUGAAAGCCGUCUUACACAGACAUUAUCAUAUUUUUCACAUCUUUUUUUCUAUUGUAGAAUCCUCAGGUUGAUGUAGAGAUUUCAGUGGUUUAUUCACUCUUAAAUUGAUCUGCCCAGAAUACACUGUAAAAACGAUAUUUGUGAUUUGCUCGCUUUUUCAGAUACCAUAGCUGGUGUCAUUAUGUUGUGUUUUCUUUCCAAAAAAACAA